CAGUAGCCGCGGUAAUACGUAGGUGGCAAGCGUUGUCCGGAUUUAUUGGGCGUAAAGCGAGCGCAGGCGGUUUCUUAAGUCUGAUGUGAAAGCCCCCGGCUCAACCGGGGAGGGUCAUUGGAAACUGGGAAACUUGAGUGCAGAAGAGGAGAGUGGAAUUCCAUGUGUAGCGGUGAAAUGCGUAGAUAUAUGGAGGAACACCAGUGGCGAAGGCGGCUCUCUGGUCUGUAACUGACGCUGAGGCUCGAAAGCGUGGGGAGCAAACAGGAUUAGAUACCCCCGUAGUCCCUGUCUCUUAUAC
rnacentral:rRNA from 1 species